GUGAGCUGGGUUUAGACCGUCGUGAGACAGGUUAGUUUUACCCUACUGUUGACCCGAUCCCGCCAUAGUAAUUCGGCUCAGUACGAGAGGAACCGCCGGGUCUGAUAAUUGGUAAUGCGCUCGGCUGAAAAGCCGAUGGCGCAAAGCUAACAUCGGUAGGCUAAUGACUGAACGCCUCUAAGUCAGAAGCCAUGCUAGGUGCGGGGUCUCAUUUCCCACCGUCGCUCACCCGUCUAAGGAUACGUCGCGUUCAUCGCGAUGCAAGAGCUUAUCCGUUCAUUCUAAUGACAAUUCCGAUCGGCGUUGGGGUAAAUCCUUUGCAGACGACUUUGCUCGAACUGGGUAUUGUAAGUGGCAGAGUGGCCUUGCUGCUACGAUCCACUGAGAUUCAGCCCGUGUU
rnacentral:rRNA from 1 species